GUGAGCCCCCGCAAUACUUCACAUCUGCGCGGAGUCCCGGGGAGGUCGAGGCCACCUGGGGUUGGGCCGUUGGACCUCUCCCUUUGCCCUUUGUCGCUACUUCCUCCUGCCCUAGGCUCGCGCGCCCUGUCUCUGUCACCCGUUCCAACGGUGUCUCACCACAGCCGGCUGGACGGUGUGUGCCUAGCGCGGAGAGCUGGCAGCCAGGAGACCUCCCCGAGGGUCCCAGUCCUCUCCAAGGAUCCCACAGCGCGCAAACUGCUCCUCGGGGGCACGUUCCUCAACAAGCCUCGCACCCGCCCGCCCCGCUCCGUUCCUGUCUGGUCUAAAUAACCCUCCCGGCCUGGUUCGGGCUGUUUACUGCAGUCGCGGGUCCUUAUCGCCCCUAUUUUACACUGCGGCUAAGAGGCUAAGCUAAGGUCUGGUCUGGCAGGCCCAGUGCUCCUCUCUGUGAGUCCUUGCCUUGGUGCGGUGUGUGUGUGUCUGACCUUCGGGUCUCAGAAGCCAUUGCUGUCUGCUUGCUCUUCCAAGUUGCUCCUCUCCUCAGGAACGGGCACAAUUCCUCCUCCAGGAUGCAAAAUGACUCUCUUCCGUUUGGCGCUUGAGCAGGCAGCCUCCUCUCCGAGGCCUGGGCCAUCCCGUCGCCACUAGAUCUUUGCCUAAAGGGGACACACCUGAAGAUCCUACAAAAGGAAGAGCAGAGAAGAGGAGAAAAAUAGCACAGGAUGGACCGUCAGAGAAGUGCUCCUCGCUGGCCCCCAUAGCAGUGAGAGGGGGCCUUCAGCAGGAAAUAGAGCUGAACAGUGUAAGGCUGAUCAGUCUUCAUUAUUCCAACCAGAAUACAUCUUUUGUGACAGAGAGCUGGAGGACGAGAAUAAGCACCUGGCUCAAAGCCAACAGGCUCAAACUCUUCUUUCUGAGAUUCAGUAGAUUUUCUUCAAUAAAGGCUUCUUAAUUCAUUGUAUGAUGUUUGCUCAAGACUUUAGAAAUGUUCAUUCACAUUCACAGUUUUUCCCAGUUUUAUUAUUGUUUCUCCAGGAAGAGAAUUUGCAAGCUCCUCACACAGCUAUUUUUGAAGUCUUGAUAGUAUCAU
rnacentral:lncRNA from 1 species